rnacentral:rRNA from 1 species
CUACGUGCCAGCAGCCGCGGUAAUACGUAGGUCCCGAGCGUUGUCCGGAUUUAUUGGGCGUAAAGCGAGCGCAGGCGGUUAGAUAAGUCUGAAGUUAAAGGCUGUGGCUUAACCAUAGUACGCUUUGGAAACUGUUUAACUUGAGUGCAAGAGGGGAGAGUGGAAUUCCAUGUGUAGCGGUGAAAUGCGUAGAUAUAUGGAGGAACACCGGUGGCGAAAGCGGCUCUCUGGCUUGUAACUGACGCUGAGGCUCGAAAGCGUGGGGAGCAAACAGGAUUAGAUACCCUGGUAGUCCACGCCGUAAACGAUGAGUGCUAGGUGUUAGACCCUUUCCGGGGUUUAGUGCCGCAGCUAACGCAUUAAGCACUCCGCCUGGGGAGUACGACCGCAAGGUUGAAACUCAAAGGAAUUGACGGGGGCCCGCACAAGCGGUGGAGUAUGUGGUUUAAUUCGACGCAACGCGAAGAACCUUACCAGGUCUUGACAU